rnacentral:rRNA from 1 species
GGGAAACAGCCCGGACCGCCCGCUAAGGUCCCCAAGAUCCAGCCGAGUGGCAAAGGAUGUGCGCUCGCCCAGACAACCAGGAUGUUGGCUUAGAAGCAGCCAUCCAUUCAAAGAGUGCGUAACAGCUCACUGGUCGAGUGGACAUGCGCCGACAAUACACGGGGCUAAGCUGGACACCGAAGCGGCGGGAUUUUAAUUCAUUAGAAUCGGUAGGGGAGCUUCCCAUGGGCGGAGAAGCCGGAGGGCGACCGACGGUGGAGCGCAUGGGAGUGAGAAUGCUGGCAUGAGUAGCGAGAGACGAGAGAGUAACUCGUCCGCCGUGAACCCGAGGUUUCCUGGGCAAGGCUAAUCCUCCCAGGGUCAGUCGGGGGCUAAGGCGAGGCCGGGAGGCGUAGCCGACGCGCAGCAGGCAGACAUUCCUGCACCGCGCACGCGGCGCUACGACCGACGGGGCGACGGAUGGGGGUGGCUCGGCGGGGUUCUGGACGUCCCCGUGAUGGAGCGCGGCCCGCGGACCAGGGAAAUCCGGUCCGCAGAAGGGCGAGGCUCCGGACGAAGCACUUAAGCGAAGCGAGUGAGCCCGAGGUCCCUAGAAAAACCCCUAGGCAGGCGCGUGCGCGCCCGUACCGCAAACCGACACAGGUGGGUGGGUAGAACAUACCGAGGCGAUCGGGUCAACCAUGGUCAAGGAACUCGGCACAAUGGCCCCGUAACUUCGGGAGAAGGGGUGCCCGCGCGUACGUGAACCGGCUUGCCCGGGGAGCGGAGGCGGGCCGCAGUGGAGAGGCCCAAGCGACUGUUUACCAAAAACACAGGACUCUGCAGAAGCCGCAAGGCGACGUAUAGGGUCUGACGCCUGCCCGGUGCCGGAAGGUCACGCGGAGGAGUUAGCCGAUUCGGCGAAGCCCCGAAGCCAAGCCCCGGUAAACGGCGGCCGUAACUAUAACGGUCCUAAGGUAGCGAAAUUCCUUGUCGGGUAAGUUCCGACCUGCACGAAAGGCGCAACGACUUGGGCGCUGUCUCGACCAUGGACCCGGUGAAAUUGCACUGGUCGUGAAGAUGCGACUUACCCGCGGAAGGACGGAAAGACCCCGUGAACCUUCACUGCAGCUUGGCAUUGGCCGCUGGUCCCGCGUGUAGAGGAUAGGCAGGAGGCACAGAUCCGGAGGCGCCAGCCCCCGGGGAGCCGCCCUUGGAAUACUGCCCUCGCGCGACCGGCGUCCUAACCCGAGGCCGUCAACCGGCUCGGGGACCGUGCCAGGCGGGCAGUUUGACUGGGGCGGUCGCCUCCUAAAGGGUAACGGAGGCGCGCGAAGGUCCGCUCGGGACGGUCGGCAACCGUCCUUUUGAAUGCAAGAGUACAAGCGGGCUUGACUGCGAGGCCCACAAGCCGAGCAGGUGCGAAAGCAGGCUCUAGUGAUCCGGCGGCCCCGAGUGGGUGGGCCGUCGCUCAACGGAUAAAAGGUACUCCGGGGAUAACAGGCUGAUCUUGCCCAAGAGUCCACAUCGACGGCAAGGUUUGGCACCUCGAUGUCGGCUCAUCGCAUCCUGGGGCUGGAGCAGGUCCCAAGGGUACGGCUGUUCGCCGUUUAAAGCGGUACGCGAGCUGGGUUCAGAACGUCGUGAGACAGUUCGGUCCCUAUCCUCCGUGGGCGCAGGAGAAUCGAUGGAGGCUGCCCCCAGUACGAGAGGACCGGGGUGGACGCACCUCCGGUGAACCGGUUGUCGACCAACGGCACGGCCGGGUAGCCGCGUGCGGCGCGGAUAACCGCUGAAGGCAUCUAAGCGGGAAGCCGUUCCAGGGAUUAGUUCUCCUUCCGGUAAGGGCCCAGGUAGACUACCUGGUCGAUAGACGGCAGGUGCAAGGCUGGCGACAGCCUCAGCCGAGCCGCACUAAUCGCCCGAGCUCUUCCGGAA